UUGGAUAUAUAAAAUAUGUAGAUUUUUUGAGAAGAAAUACUAAAUCUACAACCUAAAAGAAUUAUAAUCUCUACAAUCUCUUAUCCAAUGGCCUUUCAAUCUUAUCCCACCUUUUCUAGUCCCUAAUGGCAAGAUUUGUAGAAAAAAGACGUCUUUUGUAUUAGUAAAAUGGUAAGAUUAGAACUGAAAGUGGGUUGAAUUUACGAAGACAUCCUUACGUAUAAGUAGUUCUAAAAUUGCUUCUAAAUUUUUAUUAUUUUGUGUUAAGAACGUUCCGCUUUUGAUUUACUCUAAAAUUAAGUGAUUUUAGUCAGAAAAAUAAAUUUUUUUGUCAAAUUAACCAAUGAUUUUAUUAAAUUUAAUAAAAAAACUAAUUAACGGUUAAUGAGUACUAGUGUAGUAACCCGCGCGAUGCGGCGGGCAGAUAUAUUAUAAUCUUUUAUCUUUUAAAAUUUAAAUUUAAAUUUUAAAUCUUAUAUUUCUAUAAGUUAUUUUGUAAAGAGUAGAUCAUAUUUAUUUUAAAAGUUUUAGUAAUUUUAAAAUAUAUUGAAAA
rnacentral:lncRNA from 1 species